GCUAUACGGUGCAAGUUCAAGUCAUAGCCUAUAUCCGAUGUUUCAACUAGAAGUACAGUCUUUCGAGGUAAGGGAGGUUAUUUUCUUCUAAAAUGAUAUUAUUUCUUCAAUAUCAUUAUGCCGAAAUAUUGGUUGGAACUUUUUAUCAAAUUUGAAACUUUUUCAUGUCGGGGUUACUAUUCAUGACUUACUAUUCACGAGUUACUAUUCAUGAG
rnacentral:lncRNA from 1 species